CCUACGGGGGGCAGCAGUGGGGAAUAUUGGGCAAUGGGCGCAAGCCUGACCCAGCAACGCCGCGUGAAGGAAGAAGGCCCUCGGGUUGUAAACUUCUUUUAUUCGGGACGAAACAACUGACGGUACCGAAUGAAUAAGCCACGGCUAACUACGUGCCAGCAGCCGCGGUCAUACGUCGGUGGCAAGCGUUAUCCGGAUUUACUGGGUGUAAAGGGCGUGUAGGCGGGCGCGCAAGUCAGACGUGACAUUCCAGGGCUCAACCCUGGAACUGCGUUUGAAACUGUUUUUCUUGAGUGCUGGAGCUG
rnacentral:rRNA from 1 species